rnacentral:tRNA from 1 species
GCCUCUGUAGCUCAGUUGGUUAGAGUGCUGCUCUGGAAUUGCAGGGGCUGUGGGUUCGAUUCCUGCCAGAGGAC